rnacentral:lncRNA from 1 species
AUUCUGGGCCUUCCAUUUCCAAUCCUCCUGCUUGCUGGAUGGAUAAGUUAUGGCGUCUUCCUUUGAUAGUUUCCAACAGAUAGUAACUACUGCUAAGUGAAUCAUCAUUUUCUCUCCGUCUUUUUAAAUAGACAAUACCUGACCAUUCGUUUUAUUAAAAGAGUUCACAAGUCAUGCUACAAGUUCUUUAAUGAUAAAAAAAAUCAUAAUAAAAUAAAUGAUUUUAUAUAUAUAUAGACAAACGUCAAUGCCGAAAGUCAUGUGAGGGAGUACCAAAAACAGAACAAAAUGGCAAAUGAACAUAUGAAUCCAUAGUGCUAUGAACUUGGUGGAAGUUUCAGCAUUUUUUCAGGGACUGUAGUUUUAAAAUUUAUAAGGGCAUCGAAUACAAGUUUUAGAUAUACCUGAAUUUGUCGUUGUGAUGAAGCCAACUUGCUCUCAUAAUUUAAAUGAUCUGCGCUUGGUCAAGAGACCUGAAGAAUUCAACAUGAGAUGCUUUUGCCUGUCAAUUAGCAGUUUCAUAAUAAAUUGACCCAUUUUCUCAUUCACUCGUUGAAUAAAACCUUCUAACAACGUGGUACAGGAACUAUAAAGCCAUAAACUAGAAUACACAUCAAGCUCUGUUUAACCUUACUAAUGCAAAUAAAAUAGAAAACUUUACCAUAAAGAGGACAUGAAAGGAAAAACACAAUGAUCGACCGCGUACCAUUUUGUUGGAUAUAAAAUAAAGGACUUGUAUAUCAAUGGAAUUAAGUAGGAGGCGAGUCUUGAACCCACCCAGCUAGCCCACCAACUUGUGGUGAUAGCCAGCAUACCAUUCUACAGGUUUAAUGAAUCUUUAUAUUCUGCUUAUAUACUGUAUUCACUUCAGAACAUCUCAUGUAGUCCUUAAUUCCUUUUCAUGUUAUAGUGUCUUUUCAAGAAUACAUGCUGACCUCAACAAAUUUCAGGAAGAAGGUUUCACAUCGGGAGUAUUAGAGGAGUCAAUGUUAUAUAUGCACUGACAGGACAACGCAGGGUAUUAAAAUUAUAAGCUAUCUGCAUUUACAUUCUCUCUCUUGUGAUAUAUGAGAUAACCAUUUCAUAUAUCACAAAUAAUGUCAAUAGAAGCUGCUGCGAGAAGCUAUUUGAAUGCAGGAUUUGAUGCAAACUAUGCAAUGCUUAUGAAUUGUUACUAUGUCUUUGUUCUUUCAGUUGAAUGCGGCUGUCACUGUACAGACUCUCAUCGACGUCUUUAGUGUAUCUGGCAUUGUUCAUUAUGGCACAGCAGGAAGUUCUAAUGAUUCAAUGUCAUUUGGCGAUGUCAGUGUUCCCAAAUUUGUUGCUUAUACAGGGGCUUGGACAUGGAAGGUAUCAUCCAACUAUAUAAUCUGCUCCUGUUUUCCACCUCAAGAAGUAACAAUUCAAAGCAAUUGGAAUCUGAUUGUCAGUAAAUCCAGUAUUCUAGCAAGAACACAAAACUAGUUAUGUUGCAUCAAAAAAUUUAUAUAUACAUACUUUGGAAAGAAUUAUUUGAUGAAUCUACCACCCAACCUUCUCGGUACUACAUCUACACAGACUGCUUUGAUGUGUUCAAUGAAAAUAUGCAUUCACUGAUAACAUUGGGACAUGCAUAAUUCAUUUUCAUAUUUAGCAAAUGAAUGAGCAUUCAGCUAGUCCAUUAAUAAAUUUAGCUCUGACAGGAGAACAUUAAACUAUCAAUGCUUCUAAAAGCAUGUCAAUUUAAAUUCUGUGGUAUACUAUAAAUCAAAUCACAUUAGUAGUAGCCUAGUAGGUAAACACAUAUGGGGGCUGGAGUGAAAGUAGAAGACACUUUAUAAGCAAAACUGCAGGAUAAUUAGAACGUAUUUUAAUACCAACUGUCUCACGUCUUUACAUGAUUUCUUGUAUUCUGACUAUUUUAGAAGUUCAAAUCAUUUAAAGAGUCAGAUUCAGAACUUAGCUUUGGAGAAUUUAACGUUCCAAAUGGAGGAGAGAAUCUUCUAGGAGCACUGAAAUUCAGAAAUGAGGAACUAUACUCAGUGGGAAAGCCUAUGAAGGAAGUUUUCUGGUUAUCCGUAGAUUCAACAUGGUUCAAAAUCGCACAAGAACUCAAGGUGAAAUAUAGCAUAAGAAAUGUCAGUUUAUGCUUGACCAUUCAUGGCCAAAAAGUUGUUCUAAUCGUGAAAUUUUUAUAGGUUACACUUGAAAGGUGUAACAACACUUUCUGCUUGCCAACAACCCCAAAGGUAGUCUAUGGGCUAAAAGGAUCGUCAGCAGAUAUGUUUCUAGACAAUGCAGAAUAUAGGAAGUUCCUUUUCAGAGAAUUUGGUGUGUCAACAGUAGAUGAGGAGAGUGCAGCAGUGGUUAUGGUGAGAUUUUUAUUUCAUCUCUCAUGGUUUUUCACUUAAAUGUCUGUCAAUAUUUGCACUCUAUCAUCUUUAAUCCAAUGAUAAAGCUUAAGUUAGUAUUAUGCAUAUAAAUUAAAAUAACAUAUAUUGAUUUCAACAGACAACAACAUCUCCUGGCAUACCUGUGAUUGUAUUCCGGGGAGUUUCUGAUUUGGCUGGAGGGGAG